rnacentral:rRNA from 1 species
GGGGGGGGGGGGGGGGGGGGCGGGGGGAGGGGGGGCGGGGGGGGGGGGGGGGAGCUGGCUGCUCGGAGGUUGGCGGCGGGCGGGUGGGUAACACGUGGGUAGCCGACCUGUAAGACUGGGAUAACUUCGGGAAACCGUAGCUAAUACCGGAUAAUAUUUUGAACCGCAUGGUUCAAAAGUGAAAGACGGUCUUGCGGUCACUUAUAGAUGGAUCCGCGCUGCAUUAGCUAGUUGGUAAGGUAACGGCUUACCAAGGCAACGAUGCAUAGCCGACCUGAGAGGGUGAUCGGCCACACUGGAACUGAGACACGGUCCAGACUCCUACGGGAGGCAGCAGUAGGGAAUCUUCCGCAAUGGGCGAAAGCCUGCCGGAGCAACGCCGCGUGAGUGAUGAAGGUCUUCGGAUCGUAAAACUCUGUUAUUAGGGAAGAACAUAUGUGUAAGUAACUGUGCACAUCUUGACGGUACCUAAUCAGAAAGCCCCGGCUAACUACGUG